AUCGGGUUUCGGCCCGUAUUGUGUGGUGACUCUGGAUAACUUUGUGCUGAUCGCAUGGCCACGAGCCGGCGACGUUUCUUUCAAGUGUCUGCCUUAUCAACUUUCGAUGGUAGGUUACUUGCUUACCAUGGUUGUUACGGGUAACGGAGAAUCAGGGUUCGAUUCCGGAGAGGGAGCCUGAGAAACGGCUACCACAUCCAAGGAAGGCAGCAGGCGCGCAAAUUACCCACUCCCGGCACGGGGAGGUAGUGACGAAAAAUAACAAUACGGGACUCUUUUGAGGCCCCGUAAUUGAAAUGAGUACACUCUAAAUCCUUUAACGAGGAUCAAUUGGAGGGCAAGUCUGGUGCCAGCAGCCGCGGUAAUUCCAGCUCCAAUAGCGUAUACUAAAGCUGCUGCGGUUAAAAAGCUCGUAGUUGGAUCUCAGUUCCAGACGAGUAGUGCAUCUACCCGAUGCGACGGCUCGGACUGAACAUCAUGCCGGUUCUUUCUUGGUGCACUUCAUUGUGUGCCUCGAGAUGGCCGGUGCUUUUACUUUGAAAUAAUUAGAGUGCUCAACGCAGGCGAGUCGCCUGAAUAAACUUGCAUGGAAUAAUAGAACAAGACCUCGUUUCUGUUCUGUUGGUUUUUGGAAUACGAGGUAAUGAUUAAGAGGGACGGACGGGGGCAUUCGUAUUGCGGCGCUAGAGGUGAAAUUCUUGGACCGUCGCAAGACGAACUACUGCGAAAGCAUUUGCCAAGAAUGUUUUCAUUGAUCAAGAACGAAAGUCAGAGGUUCGAAGGCGAUCAGAUACCGCCCUAGUUCUGACCAUAAACGAUGCCAACCAGCGAUCCGCCUGAGUUACUCAAAUGACUCGGCGGGCAGCUUCCGGGAAACCAAAGUAUUUGGGUUCCGGGGGAAGUAUGGUUGCAAAGCUGAAACUUAUCGGAAUUAACCAGACAAAUCGCUCCACCAACUAAGAACGGCCAUGCACCACCAUCCACCGAAUCAAGAAAGAG
rnacentral:rRNA from 1 species